UUCAGAGGGGGACAACAGUUGGAAACGACUGCUAAUACCGCAUACGAUCUAACCUCGGCAUCGAGGAUGGAUGAAAGGUGGCCUCUAUUUAUAAGCUAUCACUGAAGGAGGGGAUUGCGUCUGAUUAGCUAGUUGGAGGGGUAACGGCCCACCAAGGCGAUGAUCAGUAGCCGGUCUGAGAGGAUGAACGGCCACAUUGGGACUGAGACACGGCCCAG
rnacentral:rRNA from 1 species